rnacentral:rRNA from 1 species
AAACCGUUGAAAGGGAAGCGAAUGGAGUUAGCAAUUCGCUCUGCCAGACUCAGUCGCUUGCGCUUCGCGACGUGCAUGUUCUCGAUCCGUAAUUUGGACGAGACGUGCGCGGGUGSGAUGUGCGGACGGCGCACUUCUGGCGAGCGAGCGUCAGCGUCGGUUGUCGACGGGCGAUAAGGACGCAGGGAAGGUGAACCGAUYAUCGCGAUCGGUUGUUAAGCCUUGCGCUCGCAUAGCUCGACGGCGACCGUGGCCCCUUCUCACUUACCAUGAGGAAGGCGACGCGUGCCUGGCUGGCGACUCUCGCCCUCGGUCCGGCAUGUCGACUGUGGCGGACGGCACGCCUGUGCGCUCGAACUGCUGCCGGUCGACGGAGGGAUGUUCGCACACUACGCGUCGAAGAUGCUGACGACCAUACGGCUCCAUCCGACCCGUCUUGAAACACGGACCAAGGAGUCUAACAUGUGCGCAAGUCUCCGGGUGAUCGAAACCCGUGGGCAUAAUGAAAGUAAAGAUCGUCUUUGUUACGAUUGAGGUGAGAAGCCGUGUCGUGUCUUCAUCGACGCGGCCGCAUCAUCGACCGACCUAUUCUGCUCUCAGAAAGGUUUGAGUAAGAGCGUAUCUGUUGGGACCCGAAAGAUGGUGAACUAUGCCUGAAUAGGGUGAAGCCAGCGGAAACACUGGUGGAAGCUCGUAGCGAUUCUGACGUGCAAAUCGAUCGUCGAAUUUGGGUAUAGCGGCGAAAGACUAAUCGAACCAUCUAGUAGCUGGUUCCCUCCGAAGUUUCCCUCAGGAUAGCUGGAGUUCAUUGUAAUGCAGU